GUUAUAUACUUUCUCAUUUGUAGUAAUCCUUUAAGCUCUUCCUGAAGAAGAAGGAUAGGCUCUCUAGCAGGGUCGUUGCUAGUUACCUAUCCGAUUUAGGCGCAAACCUUCACCAUCCAAAUGGAGAGAAUGUGACCCCGCUGGACCUCAUCGAUAACCCAAAUCUGAAAGAAAAAGUAAAAGCACUUUUACGACCUCAAUGCACAUAUUGUGAAGCUAACGCCCCUUCAAAAUUCAUACCAUGUGGACAUACUCUCCUGUGUCAUGAAUGUUAUAUCAAAAUUGCUCGUGAAAAAUGCCCCACUUGUAAACAAUGUAUUGAGGGAAGUGAGCCUCAAAUGUCGAGAGGGGACGUACUGAAGACAUCACAGCAAGUUGGUGAG